rnacentral:misc_RNA from 1 species
GAUGAAGAACGUAGCGAAAUGCGAUAAGUAAUGUGAAUUGCAGAAUUCAGUGAAUCAUCGAAUCUUUGAACGCACAUUGCGCCCGUCAGUAUUCUGGCGGGCAUGCCUGUUCGAGCGUCAUUACGCCCCUCAAGUCCCCUGUGGACUUGGUGUUGGGGAUCGGCGAGGCUGGUUUUCCAGCACAGCCGUCCCUUAAAUUAAUUGGCGGUCUCGCCGUGGCCCUCCUCUGCGCAGUAGUAAAACACUCGCAACAGGAGCCCGGCGCGGUCCACUGCCGUAAAACCCCCCAACUUUUUAUAGUUGACCUCGAAUCAGGUAGGACUACCCGCUGAACUUAAGCAUGUCAAUAAGCGGAGGA